rnacentral:rRNA from 1 species
AUGCUUUCAAAAAUGUGCCGCGCAAGUUCAAGUAUAGCUGCUGCAGGAGUUCAAAAAUCUGAACAGUUUAAGCUCAACCCAAUUUCAAGAACUGUUUCCUUUAUAAAUUGUUUGAAGUUUGUGAUUUUGGCUCAUGGCAAGAGCUCGUUGACGAUGAAGUAUGUGAAGCUUCACCACCAUUCACAACUCCAGUAUGGUCCAGUUCGUCAUGAGGAUCUGGAGCUUCAACUUUUUCAGUUCAUCUUUCAUAUGCUUUUUAGUACAUCUACUUCCUCAUCAAGGAAAUCAGUCCAACAGGCGCAUCUAAAGUGA